rnacentral:rRNA from 1 species
GAAGAUGAAGAGCUAGUCUGGGGGAUAGGGAGGAGUUCAGAGCUCAAGCUUUUUAACUUUUCACAACUAUCAGAUGCUACGAGUAACUUCUCAGAUGAAAAUAAAUUGGGGCAAGGUGGCUUUGGCCCAGUAUACAAGGGCCAGCUUCCUGAAGGUUUGGAAAUAGCAAUUAAGAGACUAGCUUCGCAGUCUGGGCAGGGUCUCACAGAGUUUAGAAAUGAAGUCCAACUCAUAGCCAAGCUCCAGCACACAAAUUUGGUUAGGCUAUUGGGAUGUUGCUCUCAAGGAGAUGAGAAAAUAUUAAUCUAUGAAUAUUUGGCAAAUAAAAGCUUGGAUUUCUUUAUCUUUGAUGAAACUAAAAAUGCUUUAUUGGAAUGGAACAAAAGAAAAGCGAUUAUCGAAGGGAUAGCACAAGGACUUCUAUAUUUGCAUAAGCACUCACGGUUACGGGUCAUACAUAGAGAUCUUAAAGCAAGUAACAUUCUUUUGGACUGUGAAAUGAAUCCUAAAAUAUCAGAUUUUGGGCUUGCAAAAAUAUUCAGCUCAAAUAAUACUGAAGGGAACACAAAAAGGAUUGCUGGGACAUAUGGGUAUAUGGCUCCCGAAUAUGCUUCAGAGGGUCUCUUUUCGAUUAAAUCUGAUGUAUUCAGCUUUGGUGUGCUGAUUCUUGAGAUCAUCCAUGGAAAAAGGAACUCAUGCUUUCAUCAAUUUGGGGACUUCUUCAACCUUCUUGGAUAUGCAUGGAAGUUGUGGAAAGAGGAAAGAUGGCUUCAGUUCAUCGAUGAAUCAAUAGUUUCAGAGUCUGACACUUUAGAGACAAUGAGGCGUAUCAACAUCGCAUUGCUGUGUGUGCAAGAGAAUGCGGUUGACAGACCCAGCACAGCAAGUGUGGUUGCAAUGCUAAGCAGUGAAAGUAUGGCCCUGCCUGAACCUAAGCAUCCGGCGUAUUUCCACAUAAGGGUUACAGAGGAAGAGCCACCUAGUGCUAAUGAUGUCACAGUGUCUACUCUACAGGGCAGAUAG